AAGAUCCUACGCAGACUGAUGUCAAAUACAGUAGGUCCUCGGGUUACGUGGGAGAUCCGUUCCUACGGCGUGACGUAAUGCCAUUUUGGCCGUCAGUCGGAAACCACCUCCAUAAGCACCUACGUCACUCACAUGGAGCACAUACACAGCAGCAAUGAAGUGAA